rnacentral:rRNA from 1 species
ACGUAGGAGGCAAGCGUUAUCCGGAGUUACUGGGCGUAAAGGGCGUGCAGGCGGUUGGCUAAGUUCGUUGUGAAAGCGCCCAGGCUUAACCGGGCGAGGACAUGAAGACUGGUCAGCUAGAGGACGGUAGAGGGGUGUGGGAUUCCGGGUGUAGUGGCAAAAUGCGUAGAGAUCCGGAGGAACUCCAGAGGCGAAGGCGGUGGCCUGGCUCUGACCUGACGCUCAGACACGAAAGCAUGGGGAGCGAACGG